UACGUAGGGAGCAAGCGUUGUCCGGAAUCAUUGGGCGUAAAGCGCGCGUAGGCGGCCCUGUAAGUCCGUUGUGAAAGUCAAAGGCUCAACCUUUGAAAGCCGAUGGAUACUGCAGGGCUAGAGUACGGAAGGGGCGAGUGGAAUUCCUGGUGUAGCGGUGGAAUGCGCAGAUAUCAGGAGGAACACCAAUAGCGAAGGCAGCUCGCUGGGACGUUACUGACGCUAAGGCGCGAAAGCGUGGGGAGCGAACAGG
rnacentral:rRNA from 1 species